AGUGAACGCUGGCGGCAGGCCUAACACAUGCAAGUCGAACGAGUGGCGGACGGGUGAGUAAUGUCUCGGAAACUACCCGGUCGUGGGGGAUAACUACGGGAAACGUACGCUAAUACCGCAUACGCUGGAAUGUGCCCAUAUGGGAUUAGCUAGUUGGUGGGGUAAAGGCCCACCAAGGCGACGAUCCGUAGCUGGUCUGAGCGGAUGACCAGCCACACUGGAACUGAGACACGGUCCAGACGCCUACGGGAGGCAGCAGUGGGGAAUAUUGGACAAUGGGCGCAAGCCUGAUCCAGCCAGGCCGCGUGGUUGAAGAAGGCCUUCGGGUUGUAAAGCCCUUUGGUUGGGAAGGCGUUACCCAAAGAAUAAGCACCGGCGAACUUCGUGCCAGCAGCCGCGGUAAUUC
rnacentral:rRNA from 1 species